rnacentral:rRNA from 1 species
GAUGAACGCUGGCGGCGUGCCUAAUACAUGCAAGUCGAGCGAACGGACGAGAAGCUUGCUUCUCUGAUGUUAGCGGCGGACGGGUGAGUAACACGUGGAUAACCUACCUAUCAGACUGGGAUAACUUCGGGAAACCGGAGCUAAUACCGGAUGAUAUUUUGAACCGCAUGGUUCAAAAGUGAAAGACGGUCUUGCUGUCACUUAUAGAUGGAUCCGCGCUGCAUUAGCUAGUUGGUAAGGUAACGGCUUACCAAGGCAACGAUGCAUAGCCGACCUGAGAGGGUGAUAGGCCACACUGGAACUGAGACACGGUCCAGACUCCUACGGGAGGCAGCAGUAGGGAAUCUUCCGCAAUGGGCGAAGGCCUGACGGAGCAACGCCGCGUGAGUGAUGAAGGUCUUCGGAUCGUAAAACUCUGUUAUUAGGGAAGAACAUAUGUGUAAGUAACUGUGCACAUCGUGACGGUACCUAAUCAGAAAGCCACGGCUAACUACGUG